ACUUAAGCAUAUCAAUAAGCGGGAGGAAAAGAAACCAACAGGGAUUGCCCUAGUAACGGCGAGUGAAGCGGCAACAGCUCAAAUUUGAAAUCUGGCCUCGGCCCGAGUUGUAAUUUGCAGAGGAUGAUUUUGGCGCGGUGCCUUCCGAGUUCCCUGGAACGGGACGCCACAGAGGGUGAGAGCCCCGUAUGGUCGGACACCAAGCCUUUGUAAAUCUCCUUCGACGAGUCGAGUAGUUUGGGAAUGCUGCUCAAAAUGGGAGGUAAAUCUCUUCUAAAGCUAAAUAUUGGCCAGAGACCGAUAGCGCACAAGUAGAGUGAUCGAAAGAUGAAAAGCACCUUGAAAAGGGGGUUAAACAGUACGUGAAAUUGUUGAAAGGGAAGGGCUCGUGACCAGACUUGUGCCAGGCGGCUCAUCCGGCGUUCUCGCCGGUGCACUCCGCCUGGCUCAGGCCAGCAUCGGUUCUUGCCGGGGGAUAAGAGCUUCGGGAACGUGGCCCCCUUCGGGGGGUGUUAUAGCCCGUUGCACGAUGCCCUGGCGGGGACCGAGGUUCGCGCUCCGCAAGGAUGCUGGCGUAAUGGUCACCAACCACCCGUCUUGAAACACGGACCAAGGAGUCGUCCAUCAGAGCGAGCGUUUGGGUGUAAAACCCGCACGCGUAAUGAAAGUGAACGCAGGUGAGAGCUUCGGCGCAUCAUCGACCGAUCCUGAUGUAUUCGGAUGGAUUUGAGUAAGAGUUUUGCUGGACGGACCCGAAAGACAGUGAACUAUGCUUGUAUAGGGUGAAGCCAGAGGAAACUCUGGUGGAGGCUCGCAGCGGUUCUGACGUGCAAAUCGAUCGUCAAAUAUGAGCAUGGGGGCGAAAGACUAAUCGAACUGUCUAGUAGCUGGUUACCGCCGAAGUUUCCCUCAGGA
rnacentral:rRNA from 1 species